AUUGAACGCUGGCGGCAUGCCUUACACAUGCAAGUCGAACGGCAGCGCGGGAGCAAUCCUGGCGGCGAGUGGCGAACGGGUGAGUAAUACAUCGGAACGUGCCCAAUCGUGGGGGAUAACGCAGCGAAAGCUGUGCUAAUACCGCAUACGAUCUACGGAUGAAAGCAGGGGAUCGCAAGACCUUGCGCGAAUGGAGCGGCCGAUGGCAGAUUAGGUAGUUGGUGAGGUAAAGGCUCACCAAGCCUUCGAUCUGUAGCUGGUCUGAGAGGACGACCAGCCACACUGGGACUGAGACACGGCCCAGACUCCUACGGGAGGCAGCAGUGGGGAAUUUUGGACAAUGGGCGAAAGCCUGAACCAGCCAUGCCGCGUGCAGGAUGAAGGCCUUCGGGUUGUAAACUGCUUUUGUACGGAACGAAACGGUCUUUUCUAAUAAAGAAGGCUAAUGACGGUACCGUAAGAAUAAGCACCGGCUAACUACGUG
rnacentral:rRNA from 1 species